UAACCUACGGGACGCAGCAGUGAGGAAUAUUGGUCAAUGGCCGGAAGGCUGAACCAGCCAAGCCGCGUGAAGGACGAAGGUGCCAAGCAUUGUAAACUUCUUUUGUCAAGGGACAAAAUCAGGCUCGAGAGCCUGACCGAGGGUACUUGAAGAAAAAGCAUCGGCUAACUCCGUGCCAGCAGCCGCGGUAAUACGGAGGAUGCGAGCGUUAUCCGGAUUUAUUGGGUUUAAAGGGUGCGUAGGCGGACGCUUAAGUCAGCGGUAAAAUUGCGGGGCUCAACCUCGUCGAGCCGUUGAAACUGGGG
rnacentral:rRNA from 1 species